rnacentral:rRNA from 1 species
AGGACGAACGCUGGCGGCGUGCUUAACACAUGCAAGUCGAACGAGGCGCUUGCGCCUAGUGGCGAACGGGUGAGUAACACGUGAGCAACCUGCCCUUGGCUCUGGGAUAGCCUCCGGAAACGGGGAUUAAUACCGGACAUGACCUUCUCCUGCAUGGGGGAGGGUGGAAAGUUUUUCGGCCAGGGAGGGGCUCGCGGCCUAUCAGCUUGUUGGGGGGGUAACGGCCACCAAGGCGACGACGGGUAGCC